GGCUGGUCUGAAGGUAGUGAGUUAUUUCACUUGAUUGUUCAGUCACAGAUUGAACUCCUUGUUCUACCUUCCCCCUUCUCACCACUGCACUUGACUUGUCUUUU
rnacentral:Y_RNA from 1 species